rnacentral:lncRNA from 1 species
GGUCCUCUUCAGAUGGUGAACAUUGCACAAAAUGCCCAGAAGAUCAGCAUCCAAAUAAGAACCAAGAUCAAUGUGUUCUCAAGAUUAUCAGCUUCCUGGCUUAUGAAGAACAUCUGGGGAUCAGCUUAGCUUUCAUUGCCCUAUUCCUGUCUGUAAUGCCAGACAUGGUGUUAGGAAUCUUCAUUAAAUACAAGGAAACUCCAAUAGUCAAAGCCAACAACUGGGACCUCUCCUACAUCCUCUUAGUCUUCCUCCUGCUUUCCUUUUUAUCCUCUUGUCUCUUCAUACGCUGGCCAAGGAAAGUGACCUGCCUUCUCAGACAAACAGUCUUCAGCCUUAUCUUCUCAGCUGCUGUUUCUUCUGUAUUAGCAAAAAAUAUCACUGUGGUGCUGGCCUUCCUGGCCACCAAACCCAGAAGCAGGGUGAGGAGAUGGUUGGGGUCUGGCCAACUCCAUUGUCAUUUCCUGAUCCGGUGUCCAAGUUGUCAUCUGCACCAUCUGGCUGGGCAUGUCUCCCCCUUUCCCGGAGUCUGACAUGCACUCCCAGCCCCGAGAGAUCAUCCUGCAGUGUAAUGAAGGAUCUGUUGCCAUGUUUUACACUGUCCUUGGCUACAUGGACUUCCUGGCUGCCAUCUGCUUCACAAUGGCUUUCCUAGCCAGGAAGCUGCCUGGGGCCUUCAAUGAAGCCAAGUUGACCUUCAGCAUGCUGGUCUUCUGCAGUGUUUGGGUGUCCUUUGUGCCCACCUACCUGAGCACAAAGGGGAAAUACAUGGUAGGUGUUCAGGUUUUCUCUAUGUUGGCCUCCAGUGCUGGGCUUCUGGGCUGCAUCUUCAUUCCCAAAUGCUACAUUAUUUUUCUGAGGCCUGAUCUGAAUACAAAGGAGCACCUGACAACAAAAGAUUAAGAUGCCAUUUAUAUUUUAAAAUAUUCAAAAUUGAUUAUACCCAGUACUACAGAACUCAAACACACAUAGUUGUGUCUAAAACAUAUUGCUUUAUCACAGCUCAGGGCUCCUUUAUGAGCACAGAGCAAAACAAAAUUAUCCCCCAACCAGACACAGGACUUAGAAAUUGGCCUUCCCUACCUUUUAUCAUAUGUGGUGGAAUUGUAAAAUAAUGAAAGAACUCUGGGAAACGAUUUAUAAUGAAUUGAAAAAAAAAAUGUUUAAGAUAAUGUUUGUUAAAAAACCAGAAGCUUUCUUAUUAGGAAUUAUAGGUGCAGAAAUACUGAAGCAGCAGAAAAAGGCUGUUUAUGUACCCAAUGGCAGCUGCUAGAAUGCUUGUGGCCCAGAGAUGGAAAGACAACAAGGUCCCUACCAUAGAGGAAUGGCAAAUUAAAUUGAUGGACUAGGCUGAAAUGUCAAAAAAUGACUGGGAAAAUCAGAAACCAGGAAGAUCAAGACUUUAAUAAAGAGUGGGGGAAAUUUAUAGUGUAUUUGGAAGACCACUCUAAACAACUGAUCCCUUUAACAGGGCUUAUCUAGCACUUGAAGGUAACAAAGACUUGGGAUAUAAUGAACAAAUGGAAUAUCUUAUUGAUAUAAAUUACGCAGUAGAAAAGGACAAAUAUGGAACUCAGGGAAAGGUGGAGGGAAGUCAUCUAGUCAGAAUAGUUUUAGGCAUUCUUGACAAUGGUUGCCAAGGAAAUUGGAACUCUGGGAAAGUGACAGUUGGAGGCAGUUCUGCUGUGGGAGUUAGAAGGAGGAAUGGAGGGCUGAUGUGGAGGAAUAAUGGGAGAUGCCCUCUUGGGUGCACGAACCAACUGAGGCUGUGAGGGCAUGUCAGAAGAAAGGUAGCACUUAAAUAGCUAUGACUACUAUUACUGAAAUCCUAGGACUAGGAAAGACCCCAGGUGCUCAGACAAUAUCAUGGAAGUUAUGGCACUUGGGAAUCUGGGAGACAGGCUCUCAAGAGCACAUAUGUUUAGGCAGGAAACCAUUCAGGUCCAGUGCAAGAAGUUACCUCAUAUUGCUCUUGAGUCUGAUGUUUAGUUGAUUGUUUUCAAAGGUGAUCUCUAGUUAAAUCCCCGGAGCUUUGGCAGGAAGAAGAAUAAUUAUAAGGGGAAGAAGCAUCACCUUGGCAACAUCCUGGAGUCUCUGUGGGGCUUAAGGCCCAAGUGCAAAGUUGGAGGAAAACAUGUUUAUGAGAACUUGCAGAAGGUGGCUCUCUGGUCUCAACAUGGGUCAGUUUGGGAGGGUGGGGAGGACAUGUAAGCUUGGCCUGGCCUUUCCUGACAAAACACUUUCAUUAGAGUGAGGUAUUAUUUUAGGGUGUUACCAAUGUUUGUCCUACUCAGAGUAGACCCAUUGAAAUGAAGAUGCAUGAUUAACUUUGGUUCAUUGGGUGGGAUUCAAUGAACUUGUUGCAUACAUGGAUGCAACAAUCCCUCAUGUGAUGGGACUUCCCACCUCCUCAUUUAAUGUGCCCCCUAAAUCUGUGAGAACUCACUGUCCAAAGGGUCAUGAUAACCAGCAUGUACUUCAAUUACACACUCAGCAUGGUGUGGUCAUUUCUGAAGAGUACGCACACAUGAAACUUCCUCUUAUUGGUUCAUUUCACUUACGAAUUUCUUCCUACG